ACUAUUGCCUACUGUUGAAGAGUUUCUCCCUCAUGUUCACCGUUCUUUUGUCGCCGGCGAUGAUACUCUCACUUGUUGCCGCUGCUCCGCAAAGUGACCGUCAUUGUUAAUAUUUUUUUCAUCCAUUGAAACGAUAAGGAGUUACAGAGGAUUUAUGGGUCAGUGACCGUGAACAUCCUUUCUCUAGCAGUCUUUUUAGCGGUUGUUUACAUAAGGAGCUUAAUAUGUGACUUCUCUGUUUGUAAUUGAGCGGCCAUUGUUAAUUGGCAAGAGGAUGAGAUGAGAUGGGACGGGAUGAGAAGGGAAUUUUUUUUCUCAACCCUAUCACCUGUGUUUGGUUGCUGAGACCAAUUUGCUAAAGGAAGAAGAAAUGAAAGUUAUCGGUGGAGGAACGACGGUGGAAGAAAGACCAAUUUUUUCUCAACCCAGUACCUUGACAGUGCUCGUGGUGGUGGUGGUGGCGGUGGAAGAACGAUGACAAAUCUUGAAGAAGCAGCCGCCAGAAGCCGUUUAUGGACCUAAAAAACAAACUCUCUUUUAACAAAUAAGUUGGUUGUAGCG